rnacentral:rRNA from 1 species
UACAGAGGGGGCAAGCGUUAUUCGGAAUUAUUGGGCGUAAAGGGCGCGUAGGCGGCAUCGCAAGUGGAAGGUGAAAUCCCUCGGCUCAACCGGGGAACUGCGUCCGAUACUGGUGGGCUUGAAUCCGGGAGAGGGAUGUGGAAUUCCAGGUGUAGCGGUGAAAUGCGUAGAUAUCUGGAGGAACACCGGUGGCGAAGGCGGCAUCCUGGACCAACACUGACGCUGAGGAGCGAAAGCCAGGGGAGCAAACGGG